AAGUCGUAACAAGGUUUCUGUAGGUGAACCUGCGGAAGGAUCAUUAAAAAUUGCAAGCCGGCGAAAGCCGCGCACCGCAAACCAUGUGAAAACACCCGUUGCUUCGGCGGCAUGCCCUCGCCGGCCGUCAGCCCGCCAGAAGCCCCGACAAAACCAUUUCUGUAAACUUCAGUCAGACACGAUAAAGUAAAUCGUUAAAA
rnacentral:misc_RNA from 1 species